rnacentral:rRNA from 1 species
UACGUAGGGUGCAAGCGUUAAUCGGAAUUACUGGGCGUAAAGCGUGCGCAGGCGGUGAUGUAAGACAGUUGUGAAAUCCCCGGGCUCAACCUGGGAACUGCAUCUGUGACUGCAUCGCUGGAGUGCGGCAGAGGGGGAUGGAAUUCCGCGUGUAGCAGUGAAAUGCGUAGAUAUGCGGAGGAACACCGAUGGCGAAGACAAUCCCCUGGGCCUGCACUGACGCUCAUGCACGAAAGCGUGGGGAGCAAACAGG